rnacentral:rRNA from 1 species
CCUAACACAUGCAAGUCGAGCGCGAAAGGAGCAAUCCGAGUAGAGCGGCGCACGGGUGCGUAACACGUGGAUAAUCUGCCCUUGAAUUCGGGAUAACCUUCCGAAAGGUUGGCUAAUACUGGGGUAAGCUCACGGUGACUUCGGUCGCUGUGGGAAAAGUAGACCUCUGUUUACAAGUUUACGUUUGAGGAUGAGUCCGCGGCCCAUCAGCUAGUUGGCGGGGUAAUGGCCCACCAAGGCUACGACGGGUAGCUGGUCUGAGAGGACGAUCAGCCACACUGGAACUGAGACACGGUCCAGACUCCUACGGGAGGCAGCAGUGGGGAAUUUUCCACAAUGGGCGAAAGCCUGAUGGAGCAACGCCGCGUGUGUGAUGAAGGUCUUCGGAUCGUAAAGCACUUUCGACCGGGACGAAAAACCUCUGGCUAACAUCCAGGGGCCUGACGGUACCGGGAGAAGAAGCACCGGCUAACUCUGUGCCAGCAGCCGCGGUAAUACAGAGGGUGCAAGCGUUGUUCGGAAUUAUUGGGCGU